rnacentral:rRNA from 1 species
GUUUGAUCCUGGCUCAGGAUGAACGCUGGCGGCGUGCUUAACACAUGCAAGUCGAACGGGAAUUACUUUAUUGAAACUUCGGUCGAUUUAAUUUAAUUCUAGUGGCGGACGGGUGAGUAACGCGUGGGUAACCUGCCUUGUACAGGGGGAUAACAGUCAGAAAUGACUGCUAAUACCGCAUAAGCGCACAGGACCGCAUGGUCCGGUGUGAAAAACUCCGGUGGUAUAAGAUGGACCCGCGUUGGAUUAGCUUGUUGGCAGGGCAACGGCCUACCAAGGCGACGAUCCAUAGCCGGCCUGAGAGGGUGAACGGCCACAUUGGGACUGAGACACGGCCCAGACUCCUACGGGAGGCAGCAGUGGGGAAUAUUGCACAAUGGGGGAAACCCUGAUGCAGCGACGCCGCGUGAAGGAAGAAGUAUCUCGGUAUGUAAACUUCUAUCAGCAGGGAAGAAAAUGACGGUACCUGACUAAGAAGCCCCGGCUAACUACGUGCCAGCAGCCGCGGUAAUACGUAGGGGGCAAGCGUUAUCCGGAUUUACUGGGCGUAAAGGGAGCGCAGGCGGUGCGGCAAGUAAUGAUGUGAAAGCCCGGGGCUCAACCCUGGUACUGCAUUGGAAACUGUCGUACUAGA